rnacentral:rRNA from 1 species
UACGUAGGGGGCAAGCGUUGUCCGGAUUUAUUGGGCGUAAAGAGCGUGUAGGCGGCCAGAUAGGUCCGUUGUGAAAACUCGAGGCUCAACCUCGAGACGCCGAUGGAAACCAUUUGGCUAGAGUCCGGAAGAGGAGAGUGGAAUUCCUGGUGUAGCGGUGAAAUGCGCAGAUAUCAGGAAGAACACCCGUGGCUAGGGCGGCUCUCUAGUACGGUACUGACGCUGAGACGCGAAAGCGUGGGGAGCGAACAGG